GACGAGGUGGCCGAGUGGUUAAGGCGAUGGUCUGCUAAACCAUUGGGGUAUCCCCGCGUGAGUUCGAAUCUCACCUUCGUCG
rfam:Thelohanellus kitauei scaffold04968, whole genome shotgun sequence.